GAUGAACGCUGGCGGCGUGCCUAAUACAUGCAAGUCGAGCGAAUGGAUUAAGAGCUUGCUCUUAUGAAGUUAGCGGCGGACGGGUGAGUAACACGUGGGUAACCUGCCCAUAAGACUGGGAUAACUCCGGGAAACCGGGGCUAAUACCGGAUAACAUUUUGAACCGCAUGGUUCGAAAUUGAAAGGCGGCUUCGGCUGUCACUUAUGGAUGGACCCGCGUCGCAUUAGCUAGUUGGUGAGGUAACGGCUCACCAAGGCAACGAUGCGUAGCCGACCUGAGAGGGGGAUCGGCAACACUGGGACUGAGACACGGCCCGGACUCCUACGGGAGGCAGCAGUAGGGAAUCUCCCGCAAUGGACGAAAGUCUGACGGAGCAACGCCGCGUGAGUGAUGAAGGCUUUCGGGUCGUAAAACUCUGUUGUUAGGGAAGAACAAGUGCUAGUUGAAUAAGCUGGCACCUUGACGGUACCUAACCAGAAAGCCACGGCUAACUACGUGCCAGCCGCCGCGGUAA
rnacentral:rRNA from 1 species